GAGAGAGACAUGCGCGCAUAUCAAUAAGCGGAGGAAAAGAAACUAACAAGGAUUCCCUUAGUAACGGCGAGUGAAGCGGGAAGAGCUCAAAUUUGAAAUCUUCAAGGUUCUACCUUGACGAAUUGUAGUUUAUAGAAGUGUUUUCUGUUAGUAGAGUGGCAAAAGUUCUUUGGAAUAGGACAUCAUAGAGGGUGAGAAUCCCGUAUUUGGUCAUUCUUUCUAGCUUUGUGAUACACUUUCAACGAGUCGGAUUGUUUGGGAAUGCAGUCCAAAAUGGGUGGUAAAUUUCAUCUAAAGCUAAUUAUUGGCGAGAGACCGAUAGCGAACAAGUACCGUGAGGGAAAGAUGAAAAGAACUUUGAAAAGAGAGUUAAACAGUACGUGAAAUUGUCAAAAGGGAAGCGUUUGACACCAGUGUUGUUUUUCCGAAAAUCAAUUACGAAUGUUUUGUUUUUAAGAAGUUAUGACUUCAUCGGCUUGCUUCUUUCUUUACGAAACUUUCUUAAUGCACUUUUCGGUUAACAAGUCAACAUCAAUUUCUUUUGUUGUAAAAGGGUAUGAGGAAGGUGGCUUUUCUUUUCGGAGAAAGUGUUUAUAGCCUUGUGCCUCUGCAAUCGGAGAGAUUGAGGUCUGCAGCGUAGAUCCUUCGGGGUUAGAUACAGUUUGUGCUAAGUUAUAGCUUUUCAUAGACAACUUGUUGACUAUGUUUAGUCUUGUAGCUUACUCGCUGACGCUAUUUUACCUACGCUUAGGAUGUUGAUAGUCACAGCGUGUAC
rnacentral:rRNA from 1 species